AGAAGUGAGAACUUACAAUAUUUUAUAUAUAUCUCUCUUAGAUUUUUAAAAAAAAAAAGAAAAAAAAAAAAAAUCA
rnacentral:ribozyme from 1 species